GGGCGUUUAGCUCAGUUGGUUUAGAGCGCAGUCCUGAUAAGACUGAGGUCCUAGGUUCAAUUCCUAGAACGCCCACCA
rnacentral:tRNA from 1 species